CAGAGGGCGUCCGAAGAGGGACGCGACGCAUUUUGGAGAUGCUGGAGUCGCUCUUGGCUCUUGGUGGCCUGGUGCUGCUGCGGGGUGAGGGUCACAGACACAGGAGCAGGGCCAAGGGGCGGAAGUGGAGAGGAAGGGCCGUGGACUCCGUGGAGUGGGAGGGGCGCAGCCUCUUGAAGGCGCUUAUCAAGAAAUCUGCACUGUGUGGGGAGCAAGUCCACAUCCUGGGCUGUGAAGUGAGCGAAGAAGAGUUUCGUGAAGGUUUUGACUCCAAUAUCAACAGCCGGCUGGUUUACCAUGACCUCUUUAGAGACCCUCUCAACUGGUCAGAGACUGGGGAAACCCUUCCUGGGGGUCCCCUGGAAGCCUUGAGGGCCCUGUGCAGGAGGACAGAUCCGGGCCCUGUCACUAUUGCUCUCGAUUCCCUCAGCUGGCUGCUGCUUCACCUUCCCUGCACCACACUCUGCCAGACUCUGCACACUCUGAGCCAUCAGGACUCCUGCCAUGGUGACAGCUCCCCAGGAGAGCAGGUGCAUGUGCUGGGCCUGCUGCAUGAAGAGCUUCACGGCCCAGGCCCCUUGGGAGUGCUGAGCAGCCUUGCUCAGACCGAGGUGACCCUGAGCGGUGCGAUGGGCCAGGCCUCAGCCCACAUCCUCUAUCGGAGGCCCCAACAGCGCCCGACCCACCAGACUCAGUGGUUCUCCAUCCUUCCUGACUUCAGCCUGGAGCUCCAAGGGGGGCCGCCCCUAGAGCCCCAGCCUUACCCAGAUCCUCGUGUUCCCUCGAUGGACCCCACGACUCAUUUGACUUUUAACCUUCGCCUGUCCAAGAAAGAGAGAGAAGCCAAAGAUAGCCUGACCCUGCCCUUCCAGUUCAGCUCAGAAAAGGGCUGAAGUCCACUUCCGGAGGCACGUCUGGGGAGGAGUUCUCUACCCACCCAAACCCCAGCAAUGGCAAAGACAGCAGGCGCUACUGUGCCCUGGGCUGGGCCAGGCUACCAGCCACAUUUUCUGUGAGCCAGAUGCUUACGAUGACCUGGACCAAGAAGACCCAGAUGAUGACCUAGAUGUUUAACUGGCCAGGAGAUGUGACUAGACUGUAACUGGAGGAAGAGGGAGACCUUGGACCCAUAACCAUCCUUCCAUUGUUUGCAUUGGCCUUAGCCUGUCUCUGCCCCAUCUUUGUUCCCUGUGUCUGUGGAGGCCGUGCCCUGUGACCCAUGAGCCAGGGAGCAGCUUCCAGUGAGGAGAGAAAGUGGAAUGGGGGCAUAAGGGAAGGUGACACCCCCCCCAAGCCUAAUAAAAUCUUAAUUUUUUAAUUAAAAACAAAAGCUCUUUGGUUGCU